rnacentral:tRNA from 1 species
GAGGGUAUAGCUCAGUGAUAGAAUGCAUGCUUAGCAUGCAUGAGGUCCUGGGUUCAAUUCCCAGUACCUCCA